GCUUUUUGGAGCUUCAGAGUUCUGGCCACCAUCCACUUGCAUUGUGAGGACCAACAGAGCUGUGAUAUUUUUGUAAAAAUCUUCGUUUGUGUUCUGCAGAAGAAAGAAAGUCAUCCAUAAUUGGAAUGCCUGAGGGUCCCCCUCAUGCCCCCAAAACAGCUCUGAUCCGUCGAGGCAUGGACUCCACAAGACCUCUGAAGGUGUCCUGUGGUAUCUGGCACCAAGAUGUUAGCAGCAGAUCCUUUAAGUCCUGUAAGUUGCAAGGUGGUGCCUCCAUGGAUCGGACUUGAUGGUCCAGCACAUCCCAUAGAUGCUCAAUCGGAUUAAGAUCUGGGGAGUUUGGAGGCCAAGUCAACACCUUGAACUUUUUGUCAUGUUCCUCAAACCAUUCCUGAACAAUUUUUGCAGUGUGGCAGGGCGCAUUGUCCUGCUGAAAGAGGCCACUGCCAUCAGGGAAUACCGUUGCCAUGAAGGGGUGUACAUGGUCUGCAACAAUCUUUAGGUAGGUGGUACGUGUCAAAGUAACAUCCACAUGAAUGCCAGGACCCAAGGUUUUCCAGCAGAACAUUGCCCAGAGUAUCACACUGCCUCCGCCGGCCUGCCUUCUUCCCAUAGUGCAUCCUGCUGCUAUCUUUUCCCCAGAAUGCCCAAUUCCCACUACUUAGUAGGUUCUUAUGGUGGCGCGGUUACUCACCUCAAUCCGGGUGGCAGAGGACAAGUCUCAGUUGCUUCGGAUUCUGAGACAGUCAAUCUGCGCAUCUUAUCAUGUGGCUUGUUUUGCAUGACACCGUGGAGACUCACAGCAUGUGGAGACUCAUGCUACUCUCCGCGAUCCACACACAACUUACCACGCACCCCACUGAGAGAAAGAACCCUUUAUCGUGACCACGAGGAGGUUACCCCAUGUGACUCUACCCUCCCUAGCAACCGGGCCAAUUUGGUUGCUUAGGAGACCUGGCCGGAGUCACUCAGCAUGCCCAGGAUUCGAACUCGCGACUCCAGGGGUGGUAGUCAGAUUCAAUACUCGCUGAGAUACCCAGGCCCCCACAAUGGUUUAUUCUUGGGAACACAGAUAAAAAAGGGACAAUAGAAUGAACGUAAAUAGAGCACAGCUGAGUACCUAUAAUGAGCGUUGAAAUGUUAACUCUAAAUAAGCCAGCUUUAUACUAGAAACCUAUGUAAGAUAAGGAACGUAUCCCUACGUUUAAGGUUAGAACAAGGCAGAAUUCAUUUGAUUUUUGCUUGACAUUUUAUGGAAGCUAUAGGCUAAUUCGUUUACAGUAUUUAGGCCAUAUACGAUCCCUAGCUUUAGAGAAAGAGACUAAAAAAAUGGCACUGUUCUGUUGCCAUAGAGAUUUCAGUAUUACCAAACAGGUUCAUUGCCAUGGCAAGCAGUGCACAGGAUAAGGGGAGAUGACUGUCUACACUGACAUACACAUCAAACACACAAAAACCGUUAAUGUGAAUUAACACACUUGGAAUUGCAUAUAAACACACAUACUUACUGAAUAAUAUCUGUUUGCUUAAGAUGCACUGGCCCACUCUUGCUACAUGAAAUUCGCUGGAGCAAUGCAGUCCAGAGAGGCUUAAAAAUAAAGCAGAUAAAACAGCAAAACAGAAUAAUUAUUCAACACUCACUGCCCUCAAAGCCCAUUCUAGAGCCUAUCUUUUGACAUUGGUUGCCCCCUUCAUCAAAUAUGGCACACUACAUAAGAGCUUUUGUGAUAUAGG